GAACUUGGUCCGUUGACAUCGUCUCUCGGUGUAAUCCACCCUUUGCAUUACCUUGAGGUCGACUCGGCUCUCGUCCUCCGCAUCACAUGAUCACUAACAUACUCUGAUGAGAUGCACAAUGCACAUGUAUGAACAUAAGGAAGAAUAACAUAAGAUAUUAUCAUGCUACGCAAUAGAGAAUUAAGUACGUAAUGGUGAGGCGUUGCAAUACUUAUGAGAGAACACUAGACAUCGACAUAGCAUUAAAUACAACAUCCACGCCCCUCUAGUUUAAUUGAACCGAACUCACAUAUCAAGAAACAUAUAAAUUAUAACAUGUUCUAUAUUUUUCAUAGCUAAAGCACGAUACAUAAAAGGCUAACACAAUUAGGUUCACCAAAAGCGGACCUCUAAAACUCAGAGUAUGGAUAGAAACAAGCUAAUCCGUUUCAACUAUUAUUUUCAGACGACUAUGCACAGCACGCCAACUAAAACCAGUUUGACGAUGCUACACGCUUUUAACAUUUGGACCAGCAGCUAACAUCUAGUUUAGACAUUUAACCGGCACUACCGGAAUUUGGCUCUUUGCCGAGUGUCAUAUUCUUUGCCGAGUGUUUUUUUUUCGGGCACUCGGCAAAGAAGCUCUUUGCCGAGUGUCACGCAAAAAACACUCUGUAAAAUAAAACACUCGGCAAAGAAGCUCUUUGCCGAAUAUUUUAUUUUUGACACUCGGCAAAGAGUUUCUUUGCCGAGUGUCUUUUUUUUGACACUCGGCAAAGGGCUCUUUGCCGAGUGCCACAAAUACAACACUCGGCAAAGAGCUCUUUGUCGAGUGUUCUUUCUCCAACACUAGGCAAAGACAAUUUAAAAAUCACAUUUUAAAGUAGUAAAUUAAUUCAAAUGAAAAAGUUUUCAACUACAAAUUUGUAUAACUCAUCAUGAUGUACAAUUUAUAUAUUGAACAUUUCUUCAUAUGACAAAAUAAAAAUAAAUUUGUUCAUAAAACCUAUAUCUCUCUCGAGAGUUUAUGAAACUAGAAGAGAGACGUAUAGAAAUUGUGUAUAUUGUUAGAACCAUCAUGUGAGAUCAACAAAUAAUCAAACAACCAAAAUAAACUUUGUAGAUCUUAAGAAGUUAUAGAAGUUUAUAGUUGACAACUUUUUCAUUUGAAGUCAUAUUGUCAAUGAAAACUACAUCUGAAUUUAAAAAUUUUAAAAUUUGAAUUUUGAAAACGACUUAGAAAGAAAAAACCACCAACAUGAAAGUUGUAGGUAUUGAAGAGUUAUGAAACUUUGUAGUUGACAAUGUUUUGGUUUGAAAUCAUCUUGUUAUGCAAAACUAUGUUUGAAUUUUGAAAUUUGAAUUUUUCAAACUGUCUCGGAUGGAAAAACCACCAAAAUAAAAGUUGUAGGUCUUGAAAUGUAAUGAAACUUUGUAGUUGACAAUUUUUUGAUUUGAAAUCAUCUUAUCAUUGAAAAAUUCGUGUGAAGUUUUCAAAUUUAAAAUCUAAAUUUUGUAAACGGACUCGGAUGUAGAAACUAUUAAAAUAAAACUUGUAGAUCUCAAAAAGUUAUGCAACUUUAUAGUUGGUCACAUUUUCAAAUGAACUCAUUUAGUGCCUUAAAUAAUCAAAUUACUCUCGAUUUGUUAUAGUACAUGGGGAAUGAAAACGUAAUAUGGACAUAAUUGAUGUAGUAGUGUAGUGGUAUAGGAGGGUAUACGCGAGAGAGAGGUUACGAGUUCGAAUCUCACCAUUUACAAAGUAUCUAAAUUUGAUUCAAAAUAAUAGUGAAAAAUGAUAGGGCAACGGAUAAGGUAUAGGUAGGAUUGAAGAGUUCUUCCUAGAAUUUAAAAAAAUGUUUUGCUGUUUUUUUUUUAAUUUUUUCGAUUCUUAAUUUGCCGAGUGUUUUUCUUUGCCGAGUGCUUUUUAACAUUCGGCAAAGUCUUUGCCGAAUGUCCGAAAAAAAACACUCGGCAAAGAACCCUUUGCCGAUGAAAUCUUUGCCGAGUGUUCUUUGCCGAGUGUUACACUCGGCAAAGGCUUUGCCGAGUGUAAAAUAGCCUUUGUCGAGUGUUUUAGACACUCGGCAAAGAACACGAUUCCGGUAGUGCGGUCGCUAAACGUAGUAGAUAACGACGACUAAAGUAGAGCAUUGACUUUAUUAUACAAACAAAAAUCACUUCAAAAUACCAACUCGCCACUGCUUCAAAGGUUAGAACAAGUCCACACAUCUAAGCUACCGACGAGAAUGAUCACGAUUAAUAUCCAUUCAAUCCAUUCAUUAAACUAAUUAGCAAGAGUAGCGAGCCAAAGUAUUAUUACCAAGCCAAUUAGAAAUCCGUGAACGCGACGACAACACCUGGCUCAUUUUUUUAUUUUUGUCGAACACCUGGCGGACGUUGCGGGACUUCGCUUGCUUUAUCAACACACACAAAUCGCCCCACACCGAAUGCAGUAGCAAGGUGAUGACGAGACGAACUGCAAGGCACAUCAACAUAUGACGUGGUUGCAAGGAUGACUUCGUGCCGAAGUGGUUCAAAACAAAGACGACGGUGCGGACCAGGGCUAUGCAGGUUUCAGGGCGUGCUGCUCGAUCACGUAAAGCUAUAGCAGAGUAGGGGGCAUGGCCAGUGCAGGGGACAAGCUGAAGCUCCGAGUAGGCGCUGGUGACACAGCGAGGAUGGAGACAACGACGGACGACACAGAGCUAGGUGGUGCGGACCACCAGAGCACCACGGCGAGGAAGGAGCAUGGCCGAUGAGUUUGGAGAAGAGGCAAACAGGAAUUUGUCAAGUGGGCGUGCUGGGCGCGGUGUUGUGUGCAAAUAGGGAAGCCGAGCACUAGAGGAAGGCCAAAGCAGCGAAGGCAACGACUAGGCGGACAACACGACGAGCAAGGAGCUGGGUGAGGCGAGCCCAUGGCGGCGCCCGCCGGAGGAUGAUGGCCGAAGUGCACUUGGGGAUGAGCAGUGAGAUGGGCUGGGAAGGCAUGGCUGCUUGGGGAGAUGGACGAGCGACACGUCUGGCGCAAAACCUGAUGGGGUGGAGGCCGAGCAAGGAAAGCAGAGGACGACGGCCAUGGAAGAGGGGCUCGGAUGCGAGACGGCUUCAGCAGCUUGAAUGAAGGACGAGAUCGGAAGGAGACGCACGGGAGGAGCUCAGCUCCUGGAUUUUGAGCUCACGUUUGGAGAGUCAGGCGUGGAAGGGGUAAGGGAGAGGAAGGAGGUGACCUAUGGGGAGUGAGAUCGUCCAAGAGCAGCGGCUGCUAUAAGAUCAAGGAGAGGGAGGCACGUGGUGGAGCAGGUCUGCAGGUGGCAUGCGGAGAUGUCCAUCGGCUGCUUGAGGAUAAGGAAAAUGAGAUUUUUCCCACAGAACCAAAGCGUGCAGGCAUUAAUGGAACCAAAACUUGAUAUUUUUCAGUAGUGAGAGGCCUUCAGCACCUAAACUCUAUACUUCAUCCAUAUCUCCACUCUACACGAUAAAACACAACAGUACAUUGAACUUGAUCCAAUGAAGUAGCAGGAACCAAACAGAUAAAAAGCUUCACCACACAUAGCUUUGAAUCCCUUCUUAACUUAGACAUCUUCAUUUGGUUCCACUCUGCCAGAAACUCCCAAGCCCAUCUCCAAUACAUCCCUACUAACACUUAUUCAUAUGACAACUUAAUCACAUAUGUAGAGUUCAGCAGGGUCCGAAGAUUCUUUUUCAGAUUGCCAAUUUCAACACUGGAUCACUGAAUCAGCCACCACUGCUUCAUUGCAACCUCCCAGUUCAGUCCCUGUUAACUCACCAUUCCCCAUGGCAAGAAGCCAAACUUACUUAGCAAAAGUUACACUCUAAACAUAGCUCUACAAGACUGUUGCAUCAGCCCAAGACCACAAGUGCAUAGAUCAAGAAUUAGAGUGCUCCAAAAUAUGAUGAAACACUGAAUUUCAGCAGCACUAACUGAAUAAUGUUUAGUGCACAAUUUGCCUGACAGCUCAUCUUGGAAGAACAUUUUCUCCCAAUUCUACACAGCAACAGAUCAACCUUGCUUAGCAAAAGUUACUCUCUAAAUAUAUUCCUAUCACUUUUGUAUAGCACCACAAGAUUGAAAACACACUGAUCAAACGUUAUGGUGCACCGAACAGAGCAAAAGAACUAAAAUACCCAGUUUCAGCUACUGAAACAGCACACACCAAUCCUGACAGAGGAAUUUGCAACACCAUUACCUCCAAAUCCUACAAAGUAUCAAGACCAAUUCUUUGUAUGAAACUUGUUCUCCUUCAUAUGGUCUUUCGUUUUUCUAUAGAAUUUCUAACCCAAUUCCCCAUAGAUUAAUUAGCACAAAGCCCCCAAGUUGGCUAAAACCACACAGAUUCAGACUUGGUUAUUACACUAAGUCUGAAUCCCCAACACCUGACAUUCCAACUUUGAGUACACUUUACUCCACUUUUUAUGCAGAACCUUACAAGUAUCAAAAUAAGGAACUUACUUACCAACAUAAGCUCUCCAGGUUUACUAUAGAAACUAUAGUCUAAAACCACUCAGAUCAAUCACAAAAUGGCUCCAAACAAGUCAUCCUUCACUGAACUUCAGAUUUCAGCAGCUGAAUAAAAAUGCAGUCAGUGCAAACCUGUCAGCUGAUUUUGGAACCAACUUUACUCCACUUUUUAUACAGGACCAAGCCAAACUUACUUAAGGAUACUUGUUCAACAUCAUAUGGGCUUCACUUACUCUAUAAACAUUGUAGCCCAAAGCUUCAUGUAUUGGCCACAAACAAGCUCCAAAAACAGCCAAAAUACUGAAACGUCAGACUUAACCUACUGUUCUCAAUCUGAAAAUGCAGAAACCUGGCAGCCCCACUUUGGAUCCCUUUUUCUCAUAAUUUCAUAUAGUUUUAAGGCUAUAAUACUUAAUAAAAGUUGUUCUCCUAUAGUUACUCUACAAGUUUGUUAUAGCAACUGUUUCCAAAAUACUCAUGGAUUAAAUGUUAGAGGGAUCCAAAAACAGAUAAACAAAACUGUUUUGGGCUGAUUCCAACGGACUCAAAUCUGAACUUUUGCAAAUUACUUCAAAUUCUCCCAUAUCACUUGGAGAGCUCCAAAUAUGAAAAUUGUUCACUUUUUCAAGCUCCACAACUUUGAUAUAUGGACUUUUGACAAAUUCUCAAUGGAUUUUAAAUUCCACUUUUGGGACUAAUUUAGAGUUUCAAAUGUGACUACGAUUUCUCCAAACCACCUCUCAACUUUGAUCCACCACUAAAAGCAAAGUUACUCAUUAAUCUAAGAUCCAACUUUGGUACUAAGAACUCAUGCCCAAAAAGGCCCUUAUUUUUGGAGUUGCUUUGUUUAUGCACCAUUUCACUCUUGGGCUCAAUUUAGGGUUUUGAUGUCGAUCCCUCUCCUCAAGCGAUCCUUCCACUUGAUUUACACUUCAAAGGUAAAGUUACUCUAGGUUCUAAGUUUACCUUCAGUACUUAAGACUCCAAGUCAAUUUGUCACUCGCCUAAGAGAUGAUUCUCACCUACUUAGCUCAAGCAAAGCCCUAAUACUAAGCCCUACACUCAAUACAAAACAUCCCAAUUUUGCAAGUUGUUGACCUAGUGAAUGCAUUCUAGGGAUAUCAAGCAAUAUGAUGCGGAUGCAUAUGAUGUCAUGCCAAAGUUUUAGUUCUCGUAACACCAGGGGUGUUACAUGGAGGCUGCCGGACUCAACGAGGAUGAAAUGGCGCUCAUCAUUAAGAGCUUCAAGACCGCCUUGAAAGGACGCAAGGAGUAUCUCAACAAGAAUAAAUCAAAGGGAAAGCACUCCUGCUUCAAAUGUGGUAAGUCUGGUCAUUUCAUAGCACAAUAUCCCGAUAAUAACAAUGACCAGGCACAAGAAAAGCAUGGGAAGAAGGAAAGGAAGAAGAACUACUUGAAGGCGAAGGGCGAGACGCAUAUUGGAAAAGAGUGGGACUCCGACUGUUCUUCAUCCGACUCCGAUGAUGAAGGACUAGCUACCUUGGCCUUCAACAAGUCUUAACUCUUCCCCAACGAAUGACACACGUGCCUCAUGGCUAAGGAGAAAAAGGUACGUAUUCGAGAUACUCUUAAAUAUUCUUCUUCUAGCAAUGAGGGAUCUUCUGAUGAUAAGAUAGAUUAUAGUGAUUUAUUUAAAGGAUUAGAUAGAUCUAAGGUAGAAAAGAUAAAUGAAUUAAUUGAUGCUCUUAAUGAAAAAGAUAAACUUCUAGAAAAGCAAGAAGAUAUACUCUAUGGGGAACAUGAUAAGUUUAUUAGUGUUCAAAAAUCACUUGCUCUAGAAAUUAAGAAGAAUGAAUUGUUGUCUUCCGAAUUAUCUACUUGUCAUGAAUCUAUCUCUAGCCUAAAGAAUUUAAAUGAUGAUUUAAAUGCUAAGUUAGAAGAAGCAAAUUCUGCUAGUUCAUCCAUAGAGCAUGUUGUUAUUUGCAAUAGGUGCAAAGAUUUUAACAUUGAUGCUUGUAAAGAACAUGCCUCUACCAUUCAGAAAUUAAACAAUGAUGUUGCAAGUCUUAAUGCUAAAAUUAAGACUUGCAAAGAUAGUUACCCUUCGGCUGAACUAGGUUUAAAAAAGAGUCCUCGUGCUUUAUUUAAAUCAACCUGCAGUCCCCUCAUAUUCAAAAAUUAUCAUAAGUAGGUCAUGUUAUUUAUAAAAUCACCCCAAGCUUCUAGAAAAUUAUGUCCGCCAUCCGAAUUUUUAUUUAAUUAAAUAAAUAAUUUUAGAAAUAGCUUAAUAAUCAUUUGUAAGUGUUAAAAUAAUUUAAAAAUCUUAGAUAAUUCAUAUCUUCUCCAUCUUAACUCUGAUUUCAGUGGUUCUCGAACCUAUUAAUUCAUUGCGACCUAUAGUUGUUUUAUUACUUGGUGUAAUGUUAAUUUUUGCCUAUGCACUGUUUGUUUGUAUUGUUGCGAGUAGACGAGCAUGUGACCAAGGAGCCCGAAGCACCGUAAGUUGAGGAAUCUGAGCAGGAGCUCAUAGAAGGCAAGUUAUGUCCUUGAUCACAUUCUUUGACCUAAUAAUGUUCAUGAUUCUGAUAAUCAUCGUGGCAUUGUUAGGCUUAAUCUGAUGGGACCUAAUAGGUUACCUAGUUUUGUUUACCUUACACCUUGCAUACAAAUGAAUUAUUGCGUUGUCUUGUUGUUUCUUUACCUGGUUUUGGGAUUAAUGCUAUAUAUGAUUUAUGAUCAGGCUCCAUUAUGAUUUAUUAUUGCUAGAUAUCUAUGCAUGUUAAGAUUAUUUUGUUUAAUUGGAACAUGGAGCGACCACCCGAGAUAACAUUGCUACCACAAGGGCGGAAUGUGACUUCUUUGGCUGAAUAAUUAGGGAUGCUAGUAAGGGAUUACCUUGCCUGAAAGGGGCAAGCGAGGAGGAGUUGCCGCAAGUAUAGGGAGGUUUUGGGUCUAACUUUCUGUGAUAGCUUUUCGGACGAGAGAUUCCUAUACCCCUUUGCUUGAAACCAUAGCGGGUUUUCUCGAGCUAGUGGAACUUUGUAAACGCCUCAUAGUGAACCCUCGCUAACUUACCUUGGAAGUGUUUAAGGGCCCGUACAACCCCGGAUAAAAAGGAAACACGACUUGUGGGUAAAGAUAUGCAACCUCCAUAGAUUACAAAACUGGUAUAUCAGCCAUGCUCACGGUUAGGACUGUGCAAAAAUACCCGAGACCAAAAACCGAACCCGAUGAGACUGAACCCUAAACCGAACAGAGGUUACACAUAUUUUAAAUGGUUGUGUAAAAAGGGGGAGAAAUUUUUUUUUGUAUUCAUUGUGGGGGAUUUUGACACACAUAUUGCACAACAUUGCAGAUUUAUCUUAUUUUUAGGGGAGAUUUUGAUUUUGAUCUUUUCAUGAUCUUUUUUACUUUGCUUUUGGCUUUUAAUCAAAAUAUUUUUUUGAAAGGGGAGAUUGUGAAACCGUGUGUGACGAAAGCAUUGUUUUAGUUGACAUUAGAACAUUGUACUAAUUUAUUAUUGUCAUCAUAAAGUGAUUUACAUGCUUUUGAACGUAAUUCAUGCGUACAAAUAUGUGGCUUUCAUUAAUGUUUAAUUAUGCAUGUGUAUUAAGAUGUGUUUUGAUAUUAAUUUAACACACUCAGUGGAGUGAUGUUGCAUGAAUUAACCUUGAGUCAAGUCACAGACUUGUGCUCGUACACAGUUGCGUGUGUUAUUCAUGUGCAGGUAUUGCUUGAGGUAGAACAUGAUUGGUGAUGUGUUGAAACUAAGUUCAGGAGGAACUAAGGUUUUGGGACUAAGUUUAGUGAGGAACUGAGGUCCUAUUUAGCUAAGGUAUCAUGCGGGCAUUCGAGCUUGAAAACGGUGCAAAUGAAGAUGGACGUUGUAUUGGAGACGCAACGUGGUGUAUGACCGCAGUACAUGAGGACAUGGAUGUUUAGAAACGUGAGUGGAUCUAAUUAGUGUGUGGUAUGCAUGCUAGCAUAUGUAGACCAUAUGUUUGGUUGCCAUAUAAGUUGAGCCAGGCCUACAUGGGUCUAGCCAGUAUUAGUACAACCAAGGUGAGUUCAUGGAGGACAGUGGCGGAGGGCGCUCAAAAUCAAUGUAUUGCUAACGCAACGCCAAAUGAAAAUUCAUGACAUAUUUUAAUAUAAUUUAUAGCUACAAAAUACUUCCUCCAUUCCAAAAUAUAAUUCGUUUUAGACUAAAAAUACAUUUAUUCAUUAACUUAUGAAUGUAGUUUGUAUGUAUGUCUAUAUUCAUUAUCAUUCAAUCGAAUGUGGAUAGAGAAAAAGAGAGUUAGAAAGAACUACACUUUGAAAGUGAGGGAGUAAGUGAUAGAUAUAAAAAACACCUUAUUCAAUAGUUAUUGUGAUCAUAAUUCAUUUACAACCAAAUGUCAUAUAGCAAAUAAAAUCUAAAAAAUAAAAAAAUAAAUUAAUAGUGGUAAAUUGAAGUAAAAACUGUUAAACGUGUGAAAUAAGAACAUACCCCUAGUUGCGCAUAAUAAAGAGAGAUACUUUUUUGGGCAGUCUUCUUUCACUUGUUUUUAUUUCCAUCUAUGUAUACUGAUGUUUGGAAUAGGAACCAAAAUAGAUCUACACAUUGACAAAUAAAUCGGAUUAAAUAUCUUUGUCGCAACCAGUCCAGAAUCCCUAGAUGCCAGAUCCAGUUGAAUCCUUACACAAGCAGACAAUGAAACAAGCUUCACCUAAGUCCUCAAUUGUGCACCCGACGCUAGAGCACCGCACGCUGCUGCUACCUGGGAGGGAAGCUGGGACCGUGGGACGAGCAAGCAGGGGCGAGCGAGCCGACGAGGGACUAGCCGCGCUGCCAUGGGUGGCCUGGCGGAGUGGCGGGGGCGGGGCGGCGACUUGGGCGGCGCUAGGCAGGUGGAGACGGCCACCGUGCCACUGCUCUGACUCGGACCAUGGUGGACGAGUCGGCCGGUGACCAUAGGGGGGCGGGCUCCGCGCGACAGUGGCCGAGGCUGUGGGCCACGCAGGUCUCACACAGGCGCAGGGUCGAAGGUCGGAGCGUGGAGGUGGCUUGCGUAGGCUGGACGCCUGGGGGCUGGCCCAAAGUAGGCAAUACUGAUACUGGAGCUUUUUG
rnacentral:lncRNA from 1 species